rnacentral:lncRNA from 1 species
ACAAAAGCAAGUAAAUAAAAUAAUCGGAUACAAAAUCCAGCCACCGUCGUUGCUAUAAAAAACUGAUCGGGAGUGGUAGAGAGUUUUGAAAAUUUGUGAAGGAGCCGAGGAGACUGGAAAGAGGAAAGAAAGAAGAAAUCUAGAUCUCGAUCAUCAAAUCUAGUUCAGAGAGAUGCAGUGGAGGAGCAAAGGCGGAAAAACUUGAAUUAUGUUUGGGUUUAAUUUGUUGGGUAAUGGAGGAUGAAGAAGAUGUCAGAAG